rnacentral:rRNA from 1 species
GACGAACGCUGGCGGCGUGCCUAAUACAUGCAAGUUGAGCGAUGAAGAUUGGUGCUUGCACCAAUUUGAAGAGCAGCGAACGGGUGAGUAACGCGUGGGGAAUCUGCCUUUGAGCGGGGGACAACAUUUGGAAACGAAUGCUAAUACCGCAUAACAACUUUAAACAUAAGUUUUAAGUUUGAAAGAUGCAAUUGCAUCACUCAAAGAUGAUCCCGCGUUGUAUUAGCUAGUUGUUGAGGUAAAGGCUCACCAAGGCGAUGAUACAUAGCCGACCUGAGAGGGUGAUCGGCCACAUUGGGACUGAGACACGGCCCAAACUCCUACGGGAGGCAGCAGUAGGGAAUCUUCGGCAAUAGACGAAAGUCUGACCGAGCAACGCCGCGGGAGUGAAGAAGGUUUUCGGAUCGUAAAACUCUGUUGGUAGAGAAGAACGUUGGUGAGAGUGGAAAGCUCAUCAAGUGACGGUAACUACCCAGAAAGGGACGGCUAACUACGUG